CCGGAUAAUCGCGCCUAUAAGGUGAGGAAAGUCCGUGCAUCCAAGGACAGAUUGCCGGAGAAACUCCGGACGGUGUGAACCGGUGGACAGGGCCACAGAAAGAAUGCGUAAGCCGGUGUGAGUGCCGGAGUCGGCUCGCGAGAGCGAGACGAGCAGGGCACGAACACAAUAAUAGCGACGUAGAAAUCUUUGAUUUCACAGGAGCUAAAUGCGUAAGCCGGUGUGAGUGCCGGAGUCGGCUCGCGAGAGCGAGACGAGCAGGGCACGAACAUACGCAUACACAGCCGAUGGAUUUUUAAUCACAGGCGAAGGUGCAAUGGCGAGGUAAGAGCUCACCGACGGUAUUGAGAAAUAUCGGUCAGGUAACCCCCAAUCGGAUGCAAGAUUAACAGGAAGGUUAUAAAGGUGUCCGCCCACUUCCGAAAAAUCGCUAGAGAUUAGGAGUAAUCCUAAUACCAGACAGAUGAUUAUCUUGAAACAGAACACGGCUUAUGAGCUGCUUUGU
rnacentral:RNase_P_RNA from 1 species